UACGAAGGGGGCUAGCGUUGCUCGGAAUCACUGGGCGUAAAGGGCGCGUAGGCGGCGUUUUAAGUCGGGGGUGAAGACCUGUGGCUCAACCACAGAAUGGCCUUCGAUACUGGGACGCUUGAGUAUGGUAGAGGUUGGUGGAACUGCGAGUGUAGAGGUGAAAUUCGUAGAUAUUCGCAAGAACACCGGUGGCGAAGGCGGCCAACUGGACCAUUACUGACGCUGAGGCGCGAAAGCGUGGGGAGCAAACAGG
rnacentral:rRNA from 1 species